GAUGAACGCUGGCGGCGUGCCUAAUACAUGCAAGUCGAGCGAACGGACGAGAAGCUUGCUUCUCUGAUGUUAGCGGCGGACGGGUGAGUAACACGUGGAUAACCUACCUAUAAGACUGGGAUAACUUCGGGAAACCGGAGCUAAUACCGGAUAAUAUUUUGAACCGCAUGGUUCAAAAGUGAAAGACGGUCUUGCUGUCACUUAUAGAUGGAUCCGCGCUGCAUUAGCUAGUUGGUAAGGUAACGGCUUGCCAAGGCAACGAUGCAUAGCCGACCUGAGAGGGUGAUCGGCCACACUGGAACUGAGACACGGUCCAGACUCCUACGGGAGGCAGCAGUAGGGAAUCUUCCGCAAUGGGCGAAAGCCUGACGGAGCAACGCCGCGUGAGUGAUGAAGGUCUUCGGAUCGUAAAACUCUGUUAUUAGGGAAGAACAUAUGUGUAAGUAACUGUGCACAUCUUGACGGUACCUAAUCAGAAAGCCACGGCUAACUACGUGCCAGCAGCCGCGGUAAUACGUAGGUGGCAAGCGUUAUCCGGAAUUAUUGGGCGUAAAGCGCGCGUAGGCGGUUUUUUAAGUCUGAUGUGAAAGCCCACGGCUCAACCGUGGAGGGUCAUUGGAAACUGGAAAACUUGAGUGCAGAAGAGGAAAGUGGAAUUCCAUGUGUAGCGGUGAAAUGCGCAGAGAUAUGGAGGAACACCAGUGGCGAAGGCGACUUUCUGGUCUGUAACUGACGCUGAUGUGCGAAAGCGUGGGGAUCAAACAGGAUUAGAUACCCUGGUAGUCCACGCCGUAAACGAUGAGUGCUAAGUGUUAGGGGGUUUCCGCCCCUUAGUGCUGCAGCUAACGCAUUAAGCACUCCGCCUGGGGAGUACGACCGCAAGGUUGAAACUCAAAGGAAUUGACGGGGACCCGCACAAGCGGUGGAGCAUGUGGUUUAAUUCGAAGCAACGCGAAGAACCUUACCAAAUCUUGACAUCCUUUGACAACUCUAGAGAUAGAGCCUUCCCCUUCGGGGGACAAAGUGACAGGUGGUGCAUGGUUGUCGUCAGCUCGUGUCGUGAGAUGUUGGGUUAAGUCCCGCAACGAGCGCAACCCUUAAGCUUAGUUGCCAUCAUUAAGUUGGGCACUCUAAGUUGACUGCCGGUGACAAACCGGAGGAAGGUGGGGAUGACGUCAAAUCAUCAUGCCCCUUAUGAUUUGGGCUACACACGUGCUACAAUGGACAAUACAAAGGGCAGCGAAACCGCGAGGUCAAGCAAAUCCCAUAAAGUUGUUCUCAGUUCGGAUUGUAGUCUGCAACUCGACUACAUGAAGCUGGAAUCGCUAGUAAUCGUAGAUCAGCAUGCUACGGUGAAUACGUUCCCGGGUCU
rnacentral:rRNA from 1 species